rnacentral:rRNA from 1 species
UAAGGGAUAUUGGUCAAUGGGCGCAAGCCUGAACCAGCAACGCCGCGUGCAGGAUGACGGCCUUCGGGUUGUAAACUGCUUUUGUCGGGGACGAGAGAGGACGGUACCCGGCGAAUAAGUCACGGCUAACUACGUGCCAGCAGCCGCGGUAACACGUAGGUGGCGAGCGUUAUCCGGAUUUACUGGGCGUAAAGCGUGUGCAGACGGACUAGCAAGUGGUGUAUGAAAUCGCGGUGCUUAACACAGCGAGGUUAUGCCAGACUGCUGGACUAGAGUGCGAGAGAGGGAUGUGGAAUUCCGGGUGUAGUGGUGAAAUGCGUAGAUAUCAAGAGGAACACCUGAGGUGAAGACGGGUUGCUGGGCUGACACUGACGCUGAGGCGCGAAAGCCAGGGGAGCAAACGGGAUUAGAUACCCAGGUAGUCCCUGAGCGGGCUGGCAAGGCGCAU